GAUGAACGCUGGCGGCGUGCCUAAUACAUGCCAGUCGAGCGAACAGAUGAGGAGCUUGCUCCUCUGACGUUAGCGGCGGACGGGUGAGUAACACGUGGAUAACCUACCUAUAAGACUGGGAUAAUUUCGGGAAACCGGAGCUAAUACCGGAUAAUAUAUUGAACCGCAUGGUUCAAUAGUGAAAGACGGUUUUGCUGUCACUUAUAGAUGGAUCCGCGCCGCAUUAGCUAGUUGGUAAGGUAACGGCUUACCAAGGCAACGAUGCGUAGCCGACCUGAGAGGGUGAUCGGCCACACUGGAACUGAGACACGGUCCAGACUCCUACGGGAGGCAGCAGUAGGGAAUCUUCCGCAAUGGGCGAAAGCCUGACGGAGCAACGCCGCGUGAGUGAUGAAGGUCUUCGGAUCGUAAAACUCUGUUAUUAGGGAAGAACAAAUGUGUAAGUAACUAUGCACGUCUUGACGGUACCUAAUCAGAAAGCCACGGCUAACUACGUG
rnacentral:rRNA from 1 species